rnacentral:rRNA from 1 species
CCUACGGGAGGCAGCAGUGAGGAAUAUUGGUCAAUGGGCGAGAGCCUGAACCAGCCAAGUCGCGUGAAGGAUGACGGCCCUACGGGUUGUAAACUUCUUUUGUCAGGGAGCAAUUGAGUCCACGUGUGGUCUUAGCGAGAGUACCUGAAGAAAACGCAUCGGCUAACUCCGUGCCAGCAGCCGCGGUAAUACGGAGGAUGCGAGCGUUAUCCGGAUUUAUUGGGUUUAAAGGGUGCGUAGGCGGAAUAUCAAGUCAGCGGGAAAAAGUCGGGGCACAACCCCGUCGUGGCGUUGAAACUGAUGGUGUGGAGUGGGCGAGAAGUAUGCGGAAGGCGUGGUGUAGCGGGGAAAUGAAUAGAUAUCACGAAGAA